AAGAUCAUACUUCACAGGAUCAGUUCUGUAGGAGUUGAUCUCAUUCUCCCUCCCUAACAUGGGAGUUGAUGUAACCACGAUGAGGAGUAGUAGCUCUCUUCUCUGAGCGUGAGAACGACGUGAAUUCUCGACAUGUCGAGAGUUCUGUCAUCGAUGAUCGUUCACUCUCUAUACUUAGUAUAGAGGGGAUGGGAAGAAGGGUUUUCUGAGUGGC